rnacentral:lncRNA from 1 species
AGGAGUAUACAGAAGAGAUAGAGCGUUUGAAGCGAGAUCUUGCAGCAGCUCGUGAGAAAAAUGGAGUGUACAUCUCUGAAGAAAGUUUCAGAGCCAUGAAUGGAAAAGUAACUGUUCAGGAGGAACAAAUUGCUGAGUUGGCUGAAAAAAUUGGUGUCCUUGAGGAGGAGCUCAGUAAGGCUGCAGAGUUAUUUACGGAUAGUGAAAAGGAACUUAAUCAGUGUAAAUCUGACCUGCAAACCAAGACACAGGAACUUGAAACCACUCAGAAACAUUUGCAAGAAACAAAAUUACAACUUGUUAAAGAGGAGUAUGUCUCUUCAGCUUUGGAAAGAACUGAGAAGAAGCUU